CCUACGGGUGGCAGCAGUGGGGAAUAUUGGACAAUGGGGGGAACCCUGAUCCAGCCAUACCGCGUGUGUGAAGAAGGCCCUCGGGUUGUAAAGCACUUUCAGUGAGGAAGAACGCCUGGUGGUUAAUACCCAUCAGGAAAGACAUCACUCACAGAAGAAGCACCGGCUAACUCCGUGCCAGCAGCCGCGGUAAUACGGAGGGUGCGAGCGUUAAUCGGAAUUACUGGGCGUAAAGCGCGCGUAGGUGGCUUGAUAAGCCGGUUGUGAAAGCCCCGGGCUCAACCUGGGAACGGCAUCCGGAACUGUCAAGCUAGAGUGCAGGAGAGGAAGGUAGAAUUCCCGGUGUAGCGGUGAAAUGCGUAGAGAUCGGGAGGAAUACCAGUGGCGAAGGCGGCCUUCUGGACUGACACUGACACUGAGGUGCGAAAGCGUGGGUAGCACACAGGAUUAGAUACCCCAGUAGUC
rnacentral:rRNA from 1 species